rnacentral:rRNA from 1 species
CUGGACACAGUGAGGAUUUGGACAUGGGGGCACCCUGAUCCAGCAAUGCCGCGUGAGUGAAGAAGGCCUUCGGGUUGUAAAGCUCUUUUGUCAGGGAAGAAACGGUGGGAGCGAAUAACUUCUACUAAUGACGGUACCUGAAGAAUAAGCACCGGCUAACUACGUGCCAGCAGCCGCGGUAAU